AAGUUAUUACAUUUUUAAAAAAUGCUGCAUUUUACACAUUUUAUUUGUUAAUGCACAUCAGGGCAAGAUCCGUGUUCUUUAAUGGUCUGACUUGAAACAUUGCAUAGCCAUCUGAUGAAGGAAGAAAGCUGAUGUGUUUACAAAGAUGACAAUGAGGUUCAAUCAAGAUCAUCUACAGUGCAUUCAGAAAUUAUUCAGACCCCUUUCACUUUUUAUUUUUAUGUUGUUGCGUGAUACUGUAAUUGUUAAGACAUUAAUAAUAAUUCAGUAAAAACGGAAUUUUAGAAACUUUUGCUAAUGUAUGAAAAAAGAAAACUGAAAUAUCAUAUUUACAUUAUACAUACACUGUAACAAAUUUCUGUAGUUUUCACAGCAUUAUUACUGUAAAAUGAGCAAAUGCUUACUGUAGAACUUGUAUACAGCAUGUUGCUGUAGAUCUGCAAAGCAUCAUGGUCUUUUUUCAACGGCGGGUAAAUUCUACAGUAAAAAUAUUUUUCCUGUGAAUCACAAUACAGCAAUUUCUAAAGGAUUUUUUUCUUCAGCCAAGGAAAGCUACGAGAUUCCACACUUUCAUCUGAAUUUUUACUUCAGAAAGGGUUGAUGACGUAUGCGAGUGCGACCUCCGCAGGCUGAAACCAGUCUCUCGAGCUGGAAGAAAACGCAGCUGAGGAGAUAUGAGGAAACUUCCACCUACAGUAAGCAGAUGCUGAGGCCCAGAUUUCCAUGCUAAGCACUCCAAGGCUCAUCAUGCUCGGAGAGUCCAAUCUGAGGGCAAAAAAUGGAUGCUUUCCAUCGAGUGCAGAGUUCUCCUCCAAUUGAGUGACAGUUGUGAUUUCACUUCUGCUCUAGCCUUUUUGCGUCAUACUAUGGAUGAGGCAGCCACUACAUUGGGAUUUAUCCAGAGGGUAGAGUCCAGCCCAGGAAGUCAACUAGUUCAUGUCCAGAUUUAAAAGAAUAAUAUUUCUGAAAAAAAGGUCUUGGAGAAAAACAAUAUUCAGGUUUGAAAUCCUGCUGUAAAUGUAAAUCAUUUAACUUUUAUGCAUUUGUAAUUUACCAGAAACUUUUUAAUAAAUAUUGAUUGUUUUGUGUGUUCAGAAAAAAAGUGUUUUUGUAUAUUCAGAAAAGUGUUGAAAUUAAAUGAAACAUUCACAGAAAAAUGUUAACAUAUUUAAAAAAAUGUAUAUGUUCAGAAAAGUUUUGAGAUGUUCACAGAAAAAAUGUAACACAAAAAAUGUAUGCUAUGCUAUUUUUAAUUUAUGAAUUUUUGUAAUUUAAAGUGAUAAAAUAAAUGGCAUUUUUGUGACAAA